rnacentral:rRNA from 1 species
GUGGGGAAUAUUGGACAAUGGGCGCAAGCCUGAUCCAGCCAUGCCGCGUGAGUGAUGAAGGCCCUAGGGUUGUAAAGCUCUUUCACCGGAGAAGAUAAUGACGGUAUCCGGAGAAGAAGCCCCGGCUAACUUCGUGCCAGCAGCCGCGGUAAUACGAAGGGGGCUAGCGUUGUUCGGAAUUACUGGGCGUAAAGCGCACGUAGGCGGACAUUUAAGUCAGGGGUGAAAUCCCGGAGCUCAACUCCGGAACUGCCUUUGAUACUGGGUGUCUGGAGUAUGGAAGAGGUGAGUGGAAUUCCGAGUGUAGAGGUGAAAUUCGUAGAUAUUCGGAGGAACACCAGUGGCGAAGGCGGCUCACUGGUCCAUUACUGACGCUGAGGUGCGAAAGCGUGGGGAGCAAACAGGAUUAGAAACCCUAGUAGUCC